rnacentral:lncRNA from 1 species
CACCACGCCCCGGUGAGCUACAGACACGGACACGGCCACCCGAGUGCCAGGACCCCCAUCGCUGCCUACCUGCCCCUCGAGCACGACCCUCCUGUGCCCGUGUCGGCCUCCAUAGACCUCAUCCUGGUGGAGGACGUGAGGGAGAGUCCAGAAGAGGUGACCAACCACAACCACCCUGGCAUCCAGGUACGGCCCUUGCCCUGCCACGGCCCUGCCGGGGCGAGACCCGUUGGGUGGCCCUUCACCCUCCAACACGCAGCCCGACCCUCCCUGCCUUCCCUCCUGCAGGCGGAGCUGCACAUCAGAGAAGGCUCGGGAUGCUCAUCUUCAGCUCAUCUGCAGACGUCGUCGAGGUGGCCCACCAGGAGGCCAGGGGAGUCGCUGUGGUGAGUUGGCUUUAGUUCCUCAUCUGGGCCACUCCGUGGUUAGUGGAUUGAUUAUUUGAAAAGCUUGCACUUAAUCACACCAGCUAUAAUUAUCAGGGUCUUUAGAUUCUCUGAUUAAUUAAGCAAAUUUGGUCAUUGCCAUGGUACCUUUGUGGGUUUUAGUCCAUAUCCACAAACUACUCAUGCUAUUAAUUACCUAAUGGUUUCCUUUCAAUCUUUUAAUCAAGACUAAAAUAUUACUUCGUAUGCAGCACUAUAACAAUCAUAAAGAACAUUGUUUUUAGAUAAUACAUCAGCUUUUUCUAUUAAUUUUUUUCCAUGUUUCUUUCUUAACCCUCUCCCUAUCCUUGCAAGUAUUGACUUAGCUAUGCCAUGGGAUGGAAGAUUAGCAUUCUGCCUUAUUCUAUGUUAUCCUAAGAUUUUAUAUUUUUCCAAGUUACAUUAUAGGCUAGGUGAUUAUUUUUAUGCCGUCAUUUAUACUUUAGCCAUUCCCUUUUUGUAGAGCAUAUAGGUUAUUUAAUUUUGUUGUUGUUGUUGUUGUUGUUUUUAAAUUGCAAAGCAUAGAAUAAAAAGAGCAAAAACAAAUGCCAAUAUCCCACAUGGCUGCAUCUCUGCAUGACGGAUUACUAGGCAAUCAUGAAAAUUGAACUUCGUUUUAAAGGAAGCUUCUUAACACUGAACAUGCAGUAAAACCACUCCCAUAAAUCAUAAAUACCAACGUUCAGCACUGACCUCCCCCCGUAUGAUUUCGGUAUAAAAUUAGAGAUGGGGACCAGGCAGAAGGACAAUCUGAGGGAAAGCUUCUAUGCUGCACAGCAACCUGCACUACGGUGCUUGAUGAAUCUCAUGUAUGAAAACACCAGGUGUAACCACAAUCCAGAUCAAAAUAUUGAACAUUUUCAGCACCCCAGAAGAUUCUACCAUGCCACU